GGGCUGUCAAGUUUGGGGUGAAAUCCCGCGGCUCAACCGUGGAACUGCCUCAGAUACUGACGGCCUCGAGGGAGAUAGGGGCAUGCGGAACUGUAGGUGGAGCGGUGAAAUGCGUUGAUAUCUACAGGAACUCCGGUGGCGAAAGCGGCGUGCUGGAUCUCUUCUGACGCUGAGGCUCGAAAGCUAGGGGAGCAAACGGGAUUAGAU
rnacentral:rRNA from 14 species